rnacentral:rRNA from 1 species
UACGAAGGGGGCUAGCGUUGCUCGGAAUGACUGGGCGUAAAGGGCGCGUAGGCGGCUCAUACAGUCAGGCGUGAAAUUCCUGGGCUCAACCUGGGGACUGCGCUUGAGACGUGUGGGCUUGAGUGGGGAAGAGGGUCGUGGAAUUCCCAGUGUAGAGGUGAAAUUCGUAGAUAUUGGGAAGAACACCGGUGGCGAAGGCGGCGACCUGGUCCUUGACUGACGCUGAGGCGCGAAAGCGUGGGGAUCAAACAGG